rnacentral:rRNA from 1 species
UACGUAGGGGGCGAGCGUUGUCCGGAGUUACUGGGCGUAAAGGGCAUGCAGGCGGUCGGACGCGUUUCGGGUGACGGCGGGUGGCUUAACUACCCGAGUGGUCGAAAGACGGUUUGACUUGAGGACGCGAGAGGGACACGGAAUUCCGGGUGGAGUGGUGAAAUGCGUAGAGAUCCGGAGGAACACCGAAGGCGAAGGCAGUGUCCUGGCGCGUAACUGACGCUGAGGUGCGAAAGCCAGGGGAGCGAACGGG